GGCGAACGGCAUUUAGUUAGGCAAGCGGCACGGUCACACUGGUCAACUAACUAAAAAAAAGUGUGAAAAUUUGUCAAAUAUUUCCACAAGUACAGCUACUUAAUCGAUUCGGGAGCAGAAUUCAGGCCCCACAGCAAACCGCCCUCGUGUUCCACCUGAUUGGAGGAUGCAGAGAUCCACAGACCGGAUACGCCGGCUGAAGAAGCUGAAGAGCGUUACGGGACCAAAGGAUGGCGGUGGAAGCGGCGAUGCUGCGGCGACGGCGGAAAACCGGACCUCCGCAUCGUCGGACACGAACGGAGGAGCCGCCAGCAGCGGAGCCGGCGGCAAGGAGCCUGGCACACUGAAUCCGGAGGUCUUCAAGCACCUCGACAAAUCCGGACGCAGCGAAUUCCUGAAGUACCUCAAGCAGCAGUUACAGGAUGCGGCGGAUACGCCCGUCUACGACAAGAACGGCGUCUUCAAGCAGGGCAUCUCCAAUGCCAUCUACCAGCUUCUCUGGCAGGCCCUGCGCUUCACCCACAAAAAGGACAUAGUACUCCACCUGCUCCUGGAAGUCGUGCCCCUCCAUGCGGACUUUCCCAGCCUUAUAGUAGACGUGGUUAACAUUCUGGACAGCGAAACCUCCCUCAUAACCGAUGGAUUUCAGGAAGAACGACAUGCCUUUGUGCAACUUGUUAAGGACCUGGAUAAGGUGGUUCCAGAAAGUCUUUUAAAAGAGCGAUUGGAAAUCGAUACCCUGCAGGAGGUGGGAAUCGUCAAGAAUAAAAGCUUCUACUCCAAGUUCAUCAAGGUCAAAACCAAGUUAUACUAUAAGCAGCGUCGGUUUAAUCUUUUCCGCGAGGAGAGCGAAGGGUUCGCCAAGCUUAUCACAGAGCUAAACCAGGAGUUCGACGAGAGCACCACCCCUGAGAGCAUAAUGGAUAUCAUAAAAUCCCUUAUAGGUUGCUUUAAUCUGGAUCCGAAUCGCGUGUUGGACAUUAUUAUUGAGUCCUUUGAAACUCGUCCGGAUCGAUGGAACUUGUUUAUCCCCCUGCUGCGCAGCUACAUGCCCACUGGUGCCAUUAUUUGCGAGGUCCUCGGAUAUAAGUUCUGCCACUUUAAGGACUCUCGCACGCCCCGCUCGUUAUACCAUGUUUGUGCUCUUUUGCUUAAGCACGACGUCAUCACGCUGAACGAUGUAUACGUGUGGUUGACUCCGAACGAUGGCAGCAUAAAGGCGGACUGGGAGGAAGAGCUGGCGGAUGCCAGGGAAAUGGUCCGCAAGCUGAACCUUAUCCAAACCAACAAGAAGGAAGACGAAAAGGAUCCACCACCGCCUCCCACGGUUAAGAAGUUCAACGAGGAAAAAUACAAUGCUAACCAAAAGUUUGGUCUCUGCGAGGCUCUGCUUAAAGUUGGCGACUGGGAAAAUGCGUCUAAGAUCAUCCAGAAGCUUCCCGAACAGGCUGUAGUACUGCAGGAACCCAUUGCCCGUGCCAUUGCCGAUCUUAUUCACCUGUCCGUGGAGAAUAUCUACUACAAGAAGUGCUUUAAGGCUCCCGCUGGACGAAGACAAAGCCGAAAUCGGUUGUAUGACGAUUCCAAGUUGGUGGCCAAGAUGCAGGCAAGGGAAUUCAGCGACUUAAGGAAGUACACUUGGCCGAUGGCUAAUGUUUUGGGACCUGCCAUGCACUACGACACUGUGCUAAUGUACAAGCUAAUCCGUAUCAUGCGGAAGCUUGUAAUCGAUAUGGGCGUAGACAGCCUAAAUGGUCCUCCGCCGAAUUCGGAGGCAGAGCAGCACUACUAUGACAUUAUGAGCUCGCUGGAUGCCUGCAUUCUACCCUCCCUUCUCUAUCUAGACAACAACUGCUCCAUGUCCGAAGAGAUUUGGGCUGUGCUCAAGUAUUUCCCGUAUCAUUUUCGCUACAGUUUGUAUGCGCGUUGGAAGAACGACAGCUACCAGAUGCAUCCCAAUUUGAUCAGGCGAUGUGGAUUGGCACAGAGGGAUAUCAAGGCGCUAAUGAAGCGCGUCAGCAAGGAGAACGUCAAGCAGUUGGGACGUCUGGUAGGAAAGUACAGCCAUUGUGCCCCAGGACUGCUGUUCGACUAUAUUCUCUUGCAAAUUCAAAUCUAUGACAAUCUAAUUGGGCCAGUCUGCGACAUGCUUAAGUAUCUUACUGCCUUGUCCUUUGACUGUUUGGGAUACUGCAUCAUCGAGUCCUUGACUUUAACGGGUCGUCUCAGGUUCAAGGAUGAUGGCACGUCGUUAUCCUUGUGGCUGCAAAGUCUUGCCUCCUUUUGCGGCACCAUCUACAAGAAGUACAGCAUUGAGCUGAGUGGGUUGCUUCAGUAUGUGGCCAAUCAGCUGAAAUCGCAGAAGAGCCUGGACUUACUGAUUUUGAGAGAGAUCGUGCAUAAAAUGGCAGGCGUGGAGUCCUGCGAGGAGAUGACUAAUGAUCAGUUGCAAGCCAUGUGUGGCGGAGAACAGCUCAGGGGAGAGGCUGGCUACUUUAGUCAAGUGAGGAACACGAAAAAGUCAUCAAAUCGCCUGAAGGAGGCCUUGGCCAACAAUGAUCUUGCCGUGGCCAUUUGCCUUUUGAUGGCUCAACAGAAGCACUGCGUCAUUUAUCGUGAGACGGCGGCGCACAGCCAUUUGAAGUUGGUGGGAAAUCUGUAUGAUCAGUGCCAGGACACACUCGUCCAGUUUGGUACUUUUCUAGGCUCCACCUAUUCUGUGGAUGAGUAUGUGGAGCGGUUACCCUCGAUUAUUACCAUGCUCCGAGAGUACCACAUAAACACAGAUGUCGCCUUUUUCUUGGCUAGGCCCAUGUUCACGCAUCAGAUCAAUCAAAAAUACGAUCAAUUGCGCAAAGCUGAUCCCAAUGCCAAGAAGCUUACCACGACGCAAAAGCUGCAAAAGUAUUUGGAAGCCACGCAGCUGAUCAUGAACCCCAUUGUAGAGUCUGUUCGUCCGCUGCACAGCUCCAAGGUGUGGGAGGACAUUAGUCCGCAGUUUCUGGUAACUUUUUGGAGUCUGAGCAUGUACGAUCUGCACGUGCCGAACGAAAGCUAUCAGAGGGAGAUUGCCAAGCUGAAACAACUGGCCCAGCAAGCGGCAGAAGGCAAAGACUCUAACCAAUCAAAGAACAAGAAGGAGCAGGAGCGCUACAUUGCGCUAAUGGAGAAGCUGAACGACGAGCGUAAAAAGCAGCAUGAGCACGUCGACAAGAUCUCGCAGCGGUUGCAGGAGCAAAAAGAUAGUUGGUUCCUUCUACGAUCUGCCAAGUCCGCAAAGAACGACACCAUCACGCAGUUCCUGCAGCUCUGCCUCUUCCCGCGUUGCACCUUUACCGCUCUGGAUGCGCUAUAUUGCGCGAAGUUCGUGCACGCCAUCCACAACCUCAAGACAUCGAACUUCUCUACCCUACUGUGCUACGAUAGGAUCUUUUGUGACAUCACUUAUUCGGUUACUUCGUGCACUGAGGGCGAGGCUACGCGGUACGGACGCUUUUUGUGCGCCAUGCUCGAGACCGUGAUGCGUUGGCAUGCGGAUCAGGCGGUGUUUAAUAAGGAGUGCGCCAAUUAUCCUGGUUUUGUGACCAAGUUUCGUGUUAGCAAUCAAUUCUCAGAGGCCAACGAUCACGUUGGCUACGAAAACUAUCGGCAUGUGUGUCACAAGUGGCACUACAAGAUUACCAAGGCGAUUGUAUUUUGUUUGGACUCGAAGGACUUUAUGCAGAUCAGAAAUGCACUGAUCAUCCUAAUGCGAAUACUGCCUCACUAUCCAGUUCUUGCCAAACUGGCGCAAAUCAUCGAGCGUAAGGUGGACAAGGUCCGCGAGGAGGAGAAGACAAAGCGACCGGAUCUGUAUGCCAUUGCCUCCAGCUACAUUGGCCAGCUGAAGCUGAAGACUCCCCACAUGCUGAAGGAGAGUGUCUUUCAUCAAAUUGCCGAGCGGCCGAAUAAGGAGUCGCCGACCAAUGCUAGCGCUUCUGCCGCACCCAUCAGAUCCGAUAAAGUGUCACCCACCUCUCCAUCUGCACAUACCCAAGGAACAAGGGCUACCAGCGGAGCUGCCCCAUUCUACAGCAACGAACAAAAGUCAGGCAACAAAGAACCAGAAACAAAAGCAGCUUCCACAACGCGCGAAUCAAAGAGCCAAAAAGGCGAGGGCAAUACCGUCACCUUGGUGUCCACAGCCACUUCAACGGCAUCCAACAGUGAACGCGAGAGCAAACAACGUGAUCUGCCCGCGCCACGCGAGUCCCAAUCACGCAGCAAGGAUGACCAGCAGGAGCAGGCAAACAACGGCAGCAAUGGUAACAGACAGAGCGAGAGCCGUAAUCGGGAUGUGGAUCGAGACAGACAGGAUCAGCACGACCAGCGAAGCAUUAGUACCCAUCGCAGUUCCAGAGACCCGGUGCGGGUCAAGGAGCGCACAGAAGCCGAACAGCAUCAGAGGUCGCGGGAACGUCUCAUGGAGGAGUUGGAAGCGCAGCAGCGGAAGCGCGAAAAGCAAACGCGACGCGGCGGCGAAGAGCGCAACCGGCAUGGGGAUGGCGUCGAAACGGUGGACUUGGUGGGCAGCACCGAUAAUCGUCACUACGAGGAGUUCGAGGGGCGGAUGAGGGACUUGAGCUCAGUGUCCAACGAAAGCAACGGUUCGAUGCAGCAUCGGCAACGUAGCCAUGAGACCAUUGAAUUCGAAAAAGUAGAUUCAAAGCGUCGCAAAUUGGAGUCGUCAACCAGCAGUUCAAAGGUUAGUAGCAUAUGGUUGCAGACAUAAGUACGCUAAGACAACAACAGUAUAAAACAACACUACGAUGACGGUCAAAUCUGGAGGGAGAGUACUCGAGGUUCUGAUUGAUUAUGCGAAACUUAAAACGUUUUUCAUCACCAUUUUCUGCUCGAAGCUACAACUUCAAAAUCAACGAAUCAAUAACGCUCCUGCCACCGCCAUCCCAAAACAAAAAAUCAAUAAUUUAAAACUGAAUCUUGAUGCGGAUGCGAUGGAUCUUCUGGGCAUCUUCAGUAUUCCUCAGUUCUAAGUGUAGAACAUUCCGGGGUGUUACUUUUAAGCUAAGUUAUAAGAGAAAAGUGAAUCAUUGUAAAAGGAUCUUCGUUAUUUUACCUAAAAGGAAUUUUUUUUUUCUAAAUUUGUUAAUUAAUUGUAAUAGUAUAAGAGUAGUUGUGUAAAUAAGAAACCAAUUUGGAGAAUCGGGACCAUAGAGACGACAACGGAUUGUAAGAAGACGAAUCUCGCAGGAAGCGCGGAGGACAAUCUUACAAAACCAAAUUAUCAUGAACGACGAAGGCGGAAAGUUCUACAACCAACCAAAACUGGAUUACAUUUGACGGAAAAAUAAAUCAACUAUAUUCUACCCUAAAAUCUUCACGGAAAAAAAUUUAAAUCAUCGUUACUACGGCUGCCAUAAGUUACAACAAAUUACAAAGGCUUCAACAAAUGUACUUUGUACUUUGAAAAACUACAAAAAGGACUGCAACAAUAAGUCGAGAUUCUGGAAACCUGUACUGAAAAGGGCAUCUCUUUGCUAACUUGUGAUAAUCAUUCAGUAAAAGUCAAAAUACUGAUUGAUAGAAAGCACCUGUAACUCAAAACCAAUCUUCUGAAGUCAAAAUCGCAACCUAUUUUCCAAUGUGCAGUCUACAGUAAAAAAGAGCUGCAUUUGCGCUGGAUCAAACAACUUCGUUCAACAAGCCACUUUUACAUUUCGAAUCUGCAAAAGAAUCAUCAAAUUUACAUUUUGAAUCAAAUGUACGCUCCUCUUCUCCGACUGCCCAUAUGAAGUUAUAAACGGAUACCAACUUACAAAGCUAACGAGGACAAAAGUAAUUCAAUUAAUCUGUGGAAUACUUGCUGCUGAACAAUUCUUCAAUACCGCCUUCGUGAAAGCCCCAAAAUUCCCGAGGAUUCCUAGUGGAUCAGCCUGAGUCAGCCGCUUCUCUGAUUUACAACCUGCAGUUACCUGUGCAGCCCAGUUUAGUUGUUAAUUCGUUGAUGUUGAGACUGUGCACGGAAGGUGGAGGAACUGGUGGACAGCGUAAAGAAGGCG